rnacentral:tRNA from 1 species
UAGCUUAGUUGGCAAAGAGCUUGCCUUACAAGCAUGAUGAUCUGAGUUAGAUCCUCAG